UUUCACUAGCAUGCGGAAAAUUGUCUCUGUGUAACCAAUUAUGUUGCUGCUUUCAUAAUUUAUCCGGUAGGAGCAGCGUGUUCUUCAUAGAAGACAUGAGGACAAGGAAAUGGCCUAGCUGGUGACCAUUGGAGAUGUAAAAUAGC